rnacentral:rRNA from 1 species
GAUGAACGCUGGCGGCGUGCCUAAUACAUGCAAGUCGAGCGAACGGACGAGAAGCUUGCUUCUCUGAUGUUAGCGGCGGACGGGUGAGUAACACGUGGAUAACCUACCUAUAAGACUGGGAUAACUUCGGGAAACCGGAGCUAAUACCGGAUAAUAUUUUGAACCGCAUGGUUCAAAAGUGAAAGACGGUCUUGCUGUCACUUAUAGAUGGAUCCGCGCUGCAUUAGCUAGUUGGUAAGGUAACGGCUUACCAAGGCAACGAUGCAUAGCCGACCUGAGAGGGUGAUCGGCCACACUGGAACUGAGACACGGUCCAGACUCCUACGGGAGGCAGCAGUAGGGAAUCUUCCGCAAUGGGCGAAAGCCUGACGGAGCAACGCCGCGUGAGUGGUGAAGGUCUUCGGACCGUAAAACUCUGUUAUUAGGGAAGAACAUAUGUGUAAGUAACUGUGCACAUCUUGACGGUACCUAAUCAGAAAGCCACGGCUAACUACGUG